AUUGAACGCUGGCGGAAUGCUUUACACAUGCAAGUCGAACGGCAGCACGGACUUCGGUCUGGUGGCGAGUGGCGAACGGGUGAGUAACAUAUCGGAACGUAUCCAAUAAUGGGGGAUAACUAAUCGAAAGGUUGGCUAAUACCGCAUACGCCCUACGGGGGAAAGCUAGGGACCUUCGGGCCUGGCGUUAAUGGAGCGGCCGAUAUCUGCAUAGCUAGUUGGUGGGGUAAAGGCCCACCAAGGCGACGAUCAGUAGCUGGUCUGAGAGGACGACCAGCCACACUGGAACUGAGACACGGUCCAGACUCCUACGGGAGGCAGCAGUGGGGAACUUUGGACAAUGGGCGCAAGCCUGAUCCAGCCAUUCCGCGUGAGUGAAGAAGGCCUUCGGGUUGUAAAGCUCUUUCGCAAGGGAAGAAAACUUAGCCUCUAACAUAGGCUGAGGUUGACGGUACCUUGAUAAGAAGCACCGGCUAACUACGUGCCAGCAGCCGCGGUAA
rnacentral:rRNA from 1 species